rnacentral:tRNA from 1 species
UCCGAUGUAGUGUAACGGCUAUCGCAUCACGCUUUCACCGUGGAGACCGGGGUUCGACUCCCCGUAUCGGAA